rnacentral:lncRNA from 1 species
GAUCAAACAGCAGGUUCUUUAGAACCUUCAUCUUCCCCGUCUCUUGAUUUCGGAGUUAUCUUAACGGCUGAGAAUAAAGUUGCAAUUCGCGCAGAUAUUGGAACCUUGUGUUCCUCCUUGCAUGGGUGUUUAGGAAGGAUAACAUCAAACAAAUCAUCGUCAGCUAUAUUAUUCCAUAUUCUGAAAGUAUUCGUUUUCAUCCAUUCUAAUAGAAAUGUCUCACCGUAAUCCGAAAUGCAUGAUGUUGACGGUAAGUAGUGAUAUUGUGAUAAUAUACUAUCGUCUUGUUUUUUUAGGAAGUUAUAAUAUUUGACAGUAGCUAGCAUUCCAAAUAUGUACAAUUCAAAUUGAUUUCUGAUCCAAUCGUCACUGCCCUCAAAUCCAGGUAGUUCCAUUUCCAAUGAACUUUCUACCCGUGAAAUGAUAUCUUCCAUCCAACUUUUAUCUGUAUAUGUGAGCGACGUUAAAUUUUUAAUGGUAGGAUCAACAAACUCAAUUUGAUGAGUAUCUGACCGCACUAUAACUUCAGCCAUUUUAUUCUGAUUUAGCAUUAUAAGCGUAUUAGUGGUGCCAGCCAACCAACUGGUAGAAGACUUAGCUUCUAACACGUGCACCAGCUGUAACGGUGUAUAAGGAGAAAACAUACUUCCUUCACCAAAAAUAAUGAGCGGAAAGCCUGUGUAUGCAAGCAACGAUCGUUUGUCACUAGUCUGUAAAGAUGCAGGUUUGUGAAGUGAUUUUUCUAACGAAUGAGCGCUUGGACUUGAGACAUCUUGUAGGUGAGACAUCAUACAGGGAAUGAGAGAAAGGAGGGAAUAUUGAAAAUUGCCAAGACGCUCAGCGCUUUUAUCGUACACUAAAAUCCUUUUUCCCAGUAAGAGAACUUUUAGUAGAACAAGAGCAUUCUGUCUCCAUUCGCACAAAAAACUUUUCAAGUUGAUGUUAAGAGCAAUGUGGACAUCUUGCUCCUUCCUAGUGAGUACAUGAAAAAAAUCUCGUAGUACAUCUAAGUUCGAAAAAUCGCCUUGAGAAAAAUAAGCAUUUGUUACGAUAUCUAGAUUAUCUUUGAUGUGUCCAAAUGGUGGAGAAGUUGUGAUAACUACAACUGCCUUUUGAACACUAGAACGUGUGACAUCGGAUGGUAUGUUUUUUAAACUGCUAGCGUUAAGUUGUCUGGUGCAUGAUAAACCAAACACGGUUCCUUCGUCAUUGGGAAAGGGAAGUGUAAAAUAGACGAAAUCCUUUUCACUCUGGAAUUGCAUUAGCCAAUUAUUUAUCAAUUUUUCGAGAAAAAAAUGGAGAGAACGGGUUGUAAACUGAUCCAUCCAUUUUCACUGUACGUUUUAAAUUAAUGAGAUAUACAUACCGAGUGUGCACCAUCUGGAAGAGAAAGGAAAGGUAAGAUAGACCAUUCUUUGGGAAAAUCCAUAGAUUCUGGAAAUAGGUGUUCUAUUUCAGGACCUCGUAAAUGAUGACUGCAACUACGUUAGCCAAGAUUACUAAAUUGUGUAGACGAGGACGUUAGAUACUUACAACCCAAUAGUUGCCAAGCAAAGGACUUGGAAGCUUGCACCAUUUUCAUCCAUAUCGCAUUGAACGAAAUCCAAAAGAUUGUAUCUGAGUACCAAAAUUCAAUUUCACUAAAGAUCCUCCUAAGUAAAUGUUCCAAAACGAUACCAAACAGUUAUUUUCAAUACUAAAAGAUACAAUUGCUGUUUAAAUAAAUAAAACUAAAAAGCUAGUUGUGCAUUCAACGGCCAUUUACAUUGUUUUGGCAGAGCAUCAACGGGCGUCUCUAACAUGGGUGGUAUAGUGUAAACGCGUAUGACUAGGUAUCAACGUUUGUUACCUAACUUUGCCUUAACAUUACUUUUGCAUGCAUUUUCAUUGUUGAAAUGAGUAUUAGAAGACUAUUGGGAAGAGCAUAUGAGGUAAAAGCAUAAAUUUUUGAAGAUUUUCUAAUUUUUGGAAUUAUAAGAUGAUUUUUUAUUUAUUUUCGUACGGCCUUUGGAUAAGCCAACAGCUUCGUUAUAAGAAGUAGUAGUCAUCAAGUCGAAGGUUAUACGGUUACGCGGUUAUGGACGAGAGUAAGCAUUGGGUUAUACGCUUACAACAAAAAAUAAGAAAGCUAAAACUCUUGAAAAGAAAUAAAAGCCACAGCGAAAGAACAGUAGCUGGAAAAACAGUUUCUUUCAUCGUUUUCACAAUAGAUUAGAAAAUCAGAAAGUCGGUUGUUCAUGAUCCACUUUUUUGCACACUGUAAAUAUAGAUAUUGGACAUAUUCUCAACCAACUGGCAAAAGAAAAAAAUUAGGAAAAAACAAGAUUACUCUAUAUUUUUUCCGUUGUCUUCUAAUAUUGACUUAGCUAAUGAUUGAUUUAUUCAAUUAUUUUCUUAUAAUAAUUUUUUGAAUUAAAUUAACAUAGUUUUAUUUUAAACUGGGAAGCGCAUCUUGCUCAUAAUUCAAAUUAUUGCCCUAAAACCAACAUGAAACAGAUCCGGCAAACUAGUUUCCACAAUAUAUCGGGAUAUAUCAAGAUAUGCAAGAUAUAUAAGAUACACAUAUAUAAGAGAUAUAAGAUACAUAUUCAAUAAUUGUCAAGGAUACCUAUAAUCAAGCAAAAAUUAAACUUACGCAAAUA